GAUGAAGAACGCAGCGAAAUGCGAUAAGUAAUGUGAAUUACAGAAUUCAGUGAAUCAUCGAAUCUUUGAACGCACCUUGCGCCCUUUGGCCAUUCCGAAGGGCAUGCCUGUUUGAGUAUCAUGAACACCUCAACUCUUCAUGGUUUUCCAUGAUGAGCUUGGACUUUGGGGGUCUUGCUGGCCUGUGGGUCGGCUCCUCUCAAAUGAAUCAGCUUGCCGGUUUUUGGUGGGCAUCACAGGUGUGAUAACUAUCUACGCUUGUGGUUUUCCACCAGGGUAACCUUCAGCAGUGGAGGUUCACUGGAGCUUACAAAUGUCUCUCCUCUGUGAGGACAGCCCUUUGAAUGUUUGAUCUCAAAUCAGGUAGGACUACCCGCUGAACUUAAGCAUAUCAAUAAGCGGAGGA
rnacentral:misc_RNA from 1 species